rnacentral:rRNA from 1 species
AUUGAACGCUGGCGGCAGGCCUAACACAUGCAAGUCGAACGGUAGCACAGAGAGCUUGCUCUCGGGUGACGAGUGGCGGACGGGUGAGUAACGUCUGGGAAACUGCCCGAUGGAGGGGGAUAACUACUGGAAACGGUAGCUAAUACCGCAUAACGUCGCAAGACCAAAGCGGGGGACCUUCGGGCCUCACACCAUCGGAUGUGCCCAGAUGGGAUUAGCUAGUAGGCGGGGUAAUGGCUCACCUAGGCGACGAUCCCUAGCUGGUCUGAGAGGAUGACCAGCCACACUGGAACUGAGACACGGUCCAGACUCCUACGGGAGGCAGCAGUGGGGAAUAUUGCACAAUGGGCGCAAGCCUGAUGCAGCCAUGCCGCGUGUAUGAAGAAGGCCUUCGGGUUGUAAAGUACUUUCAGCGGGGAGGAAGGCGGUGAAGUUAAUAACUUCACCGAUUGACGUUACCCGCAGAAGAAGCACCGGCUAACUCCGUGCCAGCAGCCGCCGUAA